AAUCGGGGGUGCUUCCGGGAAACCGGCGGCUGAGAUGGCGCGAGCCAAACCCUUUUACCUGAUACGGAUAAUGCCGUCGUAGGGAGAUUC
rnacentral:ncRNA from 1 species